CCUACGGGUGACAGCAGUGGGGAAUAUUGCACAAUGGGGGAAACCCUGAUGCAGCGACGCCGCGUGAGUGAAGAAGUAAUUCGUUAUGGAAAGCUCUAUCAGCAGGGAAGAAAAUGCCGGUACCUGAGUAAGAAGCCCCGGCUAACUACGUGCAAGCAGCCGCGGUAAGACGUAGGGGGCAAGCGUUAUCCGGAUUUUCUGGGUGUAAAGGGAGCGUAGACGGGAGUGCAAGUCUGGAGUGAAAGGCGGGGGCUCAACCCCCGGACUGCUCUGGAAACUGGACGGCUGGAGUGCAGGAGAGGUAAGUGGAAUGCCUAGUGUAGCGGUGAAAUGCGUAGAUAGUAGGAGGAACACCAGUGGCGAAGGCGGCUUACUGGACUGGAACUGACGUUGAGGCUCGAAAGCGUGGGGAGCAAACAGGAUUAGAUACCCCUGUAGUC
rnacentral:rRNA from 1 species